ACUGCGUCAAUUUCAGACAUCAGCGCAUAAUCAGAUGAAUCAUCACAUGUAUCGGAAGGUUUGUUGAGUCAAGGAAAAUGUCGAAAAGUACUAGUUGUAUUGGUACUUGGUGCUACUCGCUGAGGACUCAAGAAGGACUACUUGGCCUGACGUCAGUCUGAGCAAAAAGCGUCAUUGCAUAUGUCUACCCAGCUUUUUACCGUUUGUCUGUUGCAAUUUAGCUAGUGUAGCCACUGCUGGCCCAUCUCUCGCUCUACAUUCCUUUCAAGCAAAGUAAGCACACCUUCCUACCCUGUGCUAAAUUUAUACAGACUUUUCUGCCUUGGGACUUGGCUAGCUACCAAGGUACUGACCGACGUAGCGAGCUUGCUGCCAUCUUCUUUUCUAGCGACCUUCAUGCUGAACAAGCUCCCUUCAUAUCGCUCUCUCAAAUGCAGACAAUAAGGCUGCAGCGGUGCUGGUCCUAAGCGGUCAGAGCGGCAUCGUCAAAGACGCCAUCGAGGAGUUAGAGCAGGCGCUGUCGGAGGCCCGUGACCCGUCGGGCGACGCCCCCAAUCAGCAGGAGGAUGGCGAGGAGCCGCGCGUUAACCAGGACGCGUACUGGUCGGUGCGGGACCGCCACGUGGAGGCCGCCUGCCAGGGGAUGAUGAAGGUCACUGCCGGGUGCCUGAGGAAAACCAUGGCGGCCGUCAGGACCCGCAGGGACGCCGAUGCGCCGCAGAGGGUGGGGCAGCUGGAUCGCCUGCUUGACGGCAUCAAGGAAAUCAGCCCAGGGUUCGCGUGCAAACUGAGCAACGCACAAACACCCGCGCGCACACGCCACCUAUUUAUCUGGAAGAAUAUCUUCCUUCCCACACACAUAUUUGGGAAGGGUAUAUUUGCUGUUCUUUG